rnacentral:rRNA from 1 species
UAGGGAAUCUUCGGCAAUGGGGGGAACCCUGACCGAGCAACGCCGCGUGAGUGAAGAAGGUUUUCGGAUCGUAAAGCUCUGUUGUUAAGGAAGAACGAGUGUGAGAAUGGAAAGUUCAUGCUGUGACGGUACUUAACCAGAAACGGACGGCUAACUACGUGCCAGCAGCCGCGGUAAUACGUAGGUCCCGAGAGUUGUCCGGAUUUAUUGGGCGUAAAGCGAGCGCAGGCGGUUAGAUAAGUCUGAAGUUAAAGGCAGUGGCUCAACCACUGUAGGCUUUGUAAACGGUUUAACUUGGGUGCAGAAGGGGAGAGUGGAAUUCCAUGUGUAGCGGUGAAAUGCUUAGAUAUAUGGAGGAACACCGGUGGCGAAAGCGGCUCUUUGGCCUGUAACUGACGCGGAGGCUCGAAAGCGUGGGGAGCGAACAGG